AGAGUUUGAUCCUGGCUCAGGAUGAACGCUGGCGGCGUGCCUAAUACAUGCAAGUCGAACGAACAAGAACAGCUAAGCUUGCUUAGCUGUUUGCGUUAGUGGCGAACGGGUGAGUAAUACAUAAAUAACCUGCCCCUAUGUUUGGAAUAACAGUUGGAAACGACUGCUAAUGCCAAAUACGUUAUCUUAAGGCAUCUUAAGAUAAUAAAAGAUGGGAUACAUCGCAAAGGGAUGGAUUUAUGGCGCAUUAGUUAGUUGGUGAGGUAACGGCUCACCAAGACGAUGAUGCGUAGCCGGCCUGAGAGGGUGACCGGCCACACUGGGACUGAGACACGGCCCAGACUCCUACGGGAGGCAGCAGUAGGGAAUUUUCGGCAAUGGGGGCAACCCUGACCGAGCGACGCCGCGUGAGUGAAGAAGGCCUUCGGGUUGUAAAGCUCUGUUGUAAGGGAAGAACCGUAGUGAUAGGGAAUGAUCACUACCUGACGGUACCUUACCAGAAAGCCACGGCUAACUACGUGCCAGCAGCCGCGGUAAUACGUAGGUGGCAAGCGUUAUCCGGAAUUAUUGGGCGUAAAGGGAGCGCAGGCGGUUUAUUAAGUCUGAUGUUAAAACACGGAGCUCAACUUCGUGAUGCAUUAGAAACUGGUAGACUAGAGUGCAGGAGAGGUGAGUGGAGUUCCAUGUGUAGCGGUAAAAUGCGUAGAUAUAUGGAGGAACACCAGUGGCGAAGGCGGCUCACUGGCCUGUAACUGACGCUGAGGCUCGAAAGCGUGGGGAGCAAAUAGGAUUAGAUACCCUAGUAGUCCACGCCGUAAACGAUGAAUACUAGGUGUUGGAGUAGAACUUCAGUGUCGCAGUUAACGCAAUAAGUAUUCCGCCUGGGGAGUAUGCGCGCAAGCGUAAAACUCAAAGGAAUUGACGGGGACCCGCACAAGCGGUGGAGUAUGUGGUUUAAUUCGAUGCAACGCGAAGAACCUUACCUGGUCUUGACAUAUAGGUGAAUAAUGUAGAGAUACAUUAGUCCUUCGGGACACCUGUGCAGGUGGUGCAUGGUUGUCGUCAGCUCGUGUCGUGAGAUGUUGGGUUAAGUCCCGCAACGAGCGCAACCCCCGUUGCUAGUUGCCAUCAUUAAGUUGGGCACUCUAGCGAGACUGCCGGUGACAAAUCGGAGGAAGGUGGGGGGGACGUCAAAUCAUCAUGCCCCCUAUGUCCUGGGGUACACACGUACUACAAUGGCUAUAACAGCAGGGAGGUAAGGAGUAAUCCGGAGCGAAUCCUCAAAAAUAGUCCCAGUUCGAAUUGUGGGGUGAAACCCGCCCACACGAAGUCGGAAUUGCUAGUAAUGGCAGGUCAGCAUACUGCCGUGAAUAAAAUCCCGGGUCUUGUACACACCGCCCGU
rnacentral:rRNA from 1 species